rnacentral:rRNA from 1 species
GGGCCCGCACAAGCGGUGGAGCAUGUGGUUUAAUUCGAUGAUACGCGAGGAACCUUACCAGGGCUUAAAUGUAGUCUGACAGGGGUGGAAACACCCCCUCCUUCGGGCAGAUUACAAGGUGCUGCAUGGUUGUCGUCAGCUCGUGCCGUGAGGUGUCAGGUUAAGUCCUAUAACGAGCGCAACCCCUACCGUUAGUUGCCAGCGAUUCAAGUCGGGGACUCUAACGGGACUGCCGGUGCAAACCGUGAGGAAGGUGGGGACGACGUCAAAUCAUCACGGCCCUUACGUCCUGGGCUACACACGUGCUACAAUGGCCGGUACAGAGAGCAGCCACUACGCGAGUAGGAGCGAAUCUUCAAAGCCGGUCUCAGUUCGGAUCGCAGUCUGCAACUCGACUGCGUGAAGCUGGAAUCGCUAGUAAUCG